rnacentral:rRNA from 1 species
AGGGUUUGAUCCUGGCUCAGAUUGAACGCUGGCGGCAGGCCUAACACAUGCAAGUCGAACGGUAACAGAACUAGCUUGCUAGUUGCUGACGAGUGGCGGACGGGUGAGUAAUACUUAGGGAUCUGCCUCUGUGUGGGGGAUAACUAUUGGAAACGAUAGCUAAUACCGCAUAAUGUCUACGGACCAAAGAGGGCUUCGGCUCUCGCGCAGAGAGGAACCUAAGCGAGAUUAGCUAGUUGGUGAGGUAAAGGCUCACCAAGGCGACGAUCUCUAGCUGUUCUGAGAGGAAGAUCAGCCACACUGGAACUGAGACACGGUCCAGACUCCUACGGGAGGCUGCAGUGGGGAAUAUUGCACAAUGGGGGAAACCCUGAUGCAGCCAUGCCGCGUGUGUGAAGAAGGCCUUCGGGUUGUAAAGCACUUUCAGUUGUGAGGAAAGUUUAGUAGUUAAUACCUGCUAGAUGUGACGUUAACAACAGAAGAAGCACCGGCUAACUCCGUGCCAGCAGCCGCGGUAAUACGGAGGUGCGAGCGUUAUCGGAAUUACUGGGCGUAAAGCGCACGCAGGCGGUCUGUUAAGCUAGAUGUGAAAGCCCCGCGCUCAACGUGGGAGGGUCAUUUAGAACUGGCAGACUAGAGUCUUGGAGAGGGGAGUGGAAUUCCAGGUGUAGCGGUGAAAUGCGUAGAGAUCUGAGGAACAUCAAUGGCGAAGGCAACUCCCUGGCCAAAGACUGACGCUCAUGUGCGAAAGUGUGGGUAGCGAACAGGAUUAGAUACCCUGGUAGUCCACACCGUAAACGCUGUCUACUAGCUGUUUGUGGAUAUAAUCCGUGAGUAGCGAAGCUAACGCGAUAAGUAGACCGCCUGGGGAGUACGGCCGCAAGGUUAAAA